GUACCUAUUGCUCCCCAAAGGUGUAUAGAACAAAUAUAAUGUCUAGUUCCCUUUGCCAGACAUUGAAAUGUUUUAGAGUGUAAUAUCCUCUCUCUUCCUCACUCUACCCUUUUCUUCUCUUUCAUUAGUUCAGCCAACAAACAUGGAGCACUUACUGUGCUGACAUAAUCCAGAUGGUUGGUCUUUAUUUCCUAUAGCUAUUCUGAGAACAGACUAUGAACAAAGGACCCUUUCCAGAACGAAUUCUAAUUUGUUUUUGUUCCUGAAAGUAUGACACAAAGAACUAACUUUCUUAUAUUUUAAGUCUUCUAACAGAAAAAGAAGUAAAUAUUGUUUUGCCAACACAUUCCAUCGUUCCAAGAACUUUCGUGCUUAAACCAGGAAUGGUUCUAUUUUUGGGUGCCAUAGGCCGCAUAGAUUUUCUGAAGGUAAGGAAAGUCCGUACCAUUGAAAAAUGACUUUAGUAUUGGGAUUUACUUUAAGGAAGCAGAUAUACAGUCAAGACUAGCAAAAUGUUGAUAACCAGGUCAUGACUAUGUGGGGGUUGGUAUACUAUUCCUUUGUGUGUAUUUGAAAAUGUCUAUAGUAAAAACCUGGGAUAAUGAAAUGGGGGGAAAAAAAGUAAUAGGUCUUAAAAAACUGUAUCUUCAGUAGGCAGUCGAGUGCCCCAUACAGCUUGGCAUUAAGCAAAGAUACUUUCCCUCUCCUGUGGUAUUGUCUUUCAUGGAAAUCAGAGGUCGUACCUUUAAGUGCAGGGUUAAUGUGCAUUAAAUAAAUUCCAUGCUCUUUAUAUUC